GAGCUGGGGGUGGCCGCAGAGACCAGCGAGAAGCGACUGUUUACUAAAAACACAGGUCCGUGCGAAGCCGUAAGGCGAUGUAUACGGACUGACGCCUGCCCGGUGCUGGAACGUUAAGGGGACCGGUUAGCUCCAUUUCGGUGGGGCGAAGCUGAGAACUUAAGCGCCAGUAAACGGCGGUGGUAACUAUAACCAUCCUAAGGUAGCGAAAUUCCUUGUCGGGUAAGUUCCGACCUGCACGAAUGGCGUAACGACUUCUCGACUGUCUCAACCAUAGGCCCGGUGAAAUUGCACUACGAGUAAAGAUGCUCGUUUCGCGCAGCAGGACGGAAAGACCCCGGGACCUUUACUACAGUUUGAUAUUGGUGUUCGGUUCGGCUUGUGUAGGAUAGCUGGGAGACUUUGAAGCUCACACGCCAGUGUGGGUGGAGUCGUCGUUGAAAUACCAGUCUGGUCGUGCUGGAUGUCUAACCUGGGUCCGUGAUCCGGAUCAGGGACAGUGUCUGAUGGGUAGUUUAACUGGGGCGGUUGCCUCCUAAAGGGUAACGGAGGCGCCCAAAGGUUCCCUCAGCCUGGUUGGCAAUCAGGUGUUGAGUGUAAGUGCACAAGGGAGCUUGACUGUGAGACCGACGGGUCGAGCAGGGACGAAAGUCGGGACUAGUGAUCCGGCGGUGGCUUGUGGAAGCGCCGUCGCUCAACGGAUAAAAGGUACCCCGGGGAUAACAGGCUGAUCUUCCCCAAGAGUCCAUAUCGACGGGAUGGUUUGGCACCUCGAUGUCGGCUCGUCGCAUCCUGGGGCUGGAGUCGGUCCCAAGGGUUGGGCUGUUCGCCCAUUAAAGCGGUACGCGAGCUGGGUUUAGAACGUCGUGAGACAGUUCGGUCCCUAUCCGCUGUGCGCGUAGGAGUCUUGAGAAGGGCUGUCCCUAGUACGAGAGGACCGGGACGGACGAACCUCUGGUGUGCCAGUUGUUCUGCCAAGGGCAUGGCUGGUUGGCUACGUUCGGGAGGGAUAACCGCUGAAAGCAUCUAAGCGGGAAGCCUGCUUCGAGAUGAGGACUCCCACCUCCUAGAGAGGGUAAGGCUCCCAGUAGACGACUGGGUUGAUAGGCCGGAUAUGGAAGCCAGGUAACUGGUGGAGUUGACCGGUACUAAUAGGCCGAGGGCUUGUCCUC
rnacentral:rRNA from 1 species